AGUCAGCACUACUGUAAGUCGCUCUGGAUAAGAGCAUCUGCUAAAUGACUAAAA
rfam:Salmo salar isolate Sally breed double haploid chromosome ssa05, whole genome shotgun sequence.